rnacentral:sRNA from 1 species
CCCUAGCCCCGAUUGCAACGGAAAUCCUUUUUGCGGCGCAACGCAGUGGAGCCGCAAAAAGAUUGCAGUGAAAAGCGGGAAACAGC